GAGUUUGAUCAUGGCUCAGAACGAACGCUGGCGGCGUGCCUAACACAUGCAAGUCGAACGAGAAAGGGGCUUCGGCCCUGAGUAAAGUGGCGCACGGGUGAGUAACACGUGGGUAACCUGCCUCUAAGACCGGGAUAACCUGUCGAAAGAUGGGCUAAUACCAGAUAAGACCACGGUCCCUUCGGGGACAGGGGUCAAAGGUGGCCUCUGCAUGCAAGCCAUCACUUAGAGAUGGGCCCGCGUACCAUUAGCUAGUUGGUAGGGUAACGGCCUACCAAGGCAAAGACGGUUAGCUGGUCUGAGAGGAUGAUCAGCCACACUGGAACUGAGACACGGUCCAGACUCCUACGGGAGGCAGCAGUGGGGAAUAUUGCGCAAUGGGCGAAAGCCUGACGCAGCAACGCCGCGUGAGUGAUGAAGGCCUUCGGGUCGUAAAGCUCUGUCGGAGGGAACGAAAGCUCUUGAGGUUACAGCCCCAGGAAGUGACGGUACCCUCAAAGGAACACCGGCUAAUCUGUGCCAGCAGCCG
rnacentral:rRNA from 1 species